AUUAGGUUUAUUUAGAGUGGAGCAAGGGAAAGCAGGGAUGUGGAGGUUGGGCGAGAUUAGUAAGUAUCUAAAAUUACAAGAAAGAACAUAUAGAUAGAAUAAGAGAAAAUGCGUGCAUCUGUCCAGGAAGAGUUUGUCUUGGGCAACGCCAAGAAGCUGCCUGCCUGAGCAUUGUGAGAGUUGCACCACUUUGCCAAAGAGAGGCUUCUUGUUACCAGCAUCCUGGACAAUUACAUGUUCGGAAAAGAAAACAGUCUUUCAUCAAUUAUGGUUAAGGAUCCCCAAACUGAAACACAUGUGGCUAAACGCCAUUCAUAUCACCAGCCCACACCAGUCUGGUGGUGGGGGAGAGAAGGAAAAAGAGGAGAUAAAUGGCCUACAUGAUUGAUUUCAACUAAGACCCAAAUCUUGGAGAACAAUUAUUGGAUUUACCACUGUUUGUUUUUGCAACAUUUCGGAAAUCGGCAAAAAAAAAAAAAAAAGUUUACAAAGUCGAAGAGGCAUGUGGCAGCUAAGAAGUUGUUUCCUAGGAAGAGGAGAUCAAGACACAGACAAGAUGAGGUUAAGACCAUGUGAAGACAGAGAGAGAAGACUGCAAUCCACAGGCCAAGGAGAGAGGACUCAGAAGAAGCAACCUGGCUAAUACCUUUAUCUCAGACUUCUGGCAUCCAUUAUUAUUAAACAACAGAUUUCAGUUGUUUAAGCCACUAGCCUGUGGUAUUUUG
rnacentral:lncRNA from 1 species